GUAGGGAAUAUUGCACAAUGGAGGAAACUCUGAUGCAGCGACGCCGCGUGAGUGAUGAAGGCCUUCGGGUCGUAAAGCUCUGUCGCAGGGGAAUAACACAAUGAAGUUACCCUGUAAGAAAGGAUCGGCUAACUUCGUGCCAGCAGCCGCGGUAAGACGAGGGAUCCUAGCGUUGUUCGGAAUCAUUGGGCGUAAAGCGGAUGUAGGUGGCUAUGUAAGUCAGAUGUGAAAGCCUGGGGCUCAACCCCAGAAGUGCAUUUGAUACUGCGUAGCUUGAGUGUCGGAGAGGUUACUAGAAUUGUUGGUGUAGUGGUGAAAUACGUAGAUAUCAACAGGAAUACCGGAGGCGAAGGCGGGUAACUGGCCGAACACUGACACUGAGAUCCGAAAGCGUGGGGAUCAAACAGGAUUAGAAACCCGGGUAGUCC
rnacentral:rRNA from 1 species